GCGCCCAUAGCGCAGCUGGUAGCGUUGCUGCCUGUCAUGCGGAAGGUCCCAGGUUCGAGUCCAGGCGGUGGCA
rnacentral:tRNA from 1 species